AUGAGCACGCGCCUUGUUGCGAGGUGGGCCCGGCCCCGGCAUUAUAAAGAGCGCCACGAGUCGGCAUUGUCAGGCGGCGGCACCGCGCGGGCCCGAGUGAGCUUGUCGGUCGGUGCGUCUGUGCGGCGCGGCGGCGGCGGCGGCGGAGGGCGCGAGGUCGCGGCGGCUCCGUUGGCGGCGGAGGCUAGGCCCGGCAGCGCAGGCGUGAGCGCGGCCGAGCCCGCGGCGCCUUCCCGGCGGGUGGGGACGAGCGGGCCCCGCGGCGUCAUCGGCGGCGAGGAGCUGCCGCGCCUCGGCCUAGCAUGUCGGAAGCGGGUGA
rnacentral:lncRNA from 12 species